AGUCGAGCGAGAAAAGGGGAGCAAUCCUCUGAGUACAGCGGCGCACGGGUGAGUAACACGUGGGUAAUCUGCCCUAGAGUGGGGAAUAACACCGGGAAACCGGUGCUAAUACCGCAUACGAUCACGAGGUCUGCGGAUUUUGUGAUGAAAGGAACAAUUCGCUCCAGGAGGAGCCCGCGGCUGAUUAGCUAGUUGGUGAGGUAAUGGCUCACCAAGGCAACGAUCAGUAUCCGGUCUGAGAGGACGGCCGGACACACUGGAACUGAGACACGGUCCAGACUCCUACGGGAGGCAGCAGUGGGGAAUUUUUGGCAAUGGGGGCAACCCUGACCAAGCAACGCCGCGUGGGUGAUGAAGUCUCUUGGGACGUAAAACCCUUUCGACGGGGAAGAAAACCGCAAGGUUUGACGGUACCCGUAGAAGAAGCCCCGGCUAACUCCGUGCCAGCAGCCGCGGUAAUACGGGGGGGGCAAGCGUUGUUCGGAAUUACUGGGCGUAAAGGGCGCGUAGGCGGUUCGCUAAGUUGGAUGUGAAAACUCUGGGCUCAACCCAGAGCCUGCAUUCAAAACUGGCGGGCUAGAGUUCUGGAGGGGGUAGCGGAAUUCCUGGUGUAGCGGUGAAAUGCGUAGAUAUCAGGAGGAACACCGGUGGCGAAGGCGGCUACCUGGACAGAAACUGACGCUGAGGCGCGAAAGCU
rnacentral:rRNA from 1 species